rnacentral:piRNA from 1 species
UGGACAUAGGGAAAGGUGUCUUUGAUGUCC